GGCCUCUUACAGGCAUGAUUGCAGUUUAACACAGAGAGUGAAAUCAUUUACAAAGAACCAGCAUCAUUCAGUGUGAGGCUUUCUGGCCCCACAGGAAACCCUUUUAAGCUUUCAAGUCUCAAAAUGAAGGAAAACUUCUUCUUGAGAACCUUAAUUUAAGAAUCAUAAAAAUCCAUUUGUCCCAUUAAAUAACCUUGAUUCUCUUGGCAUGAUUGCUUCUAUAAAUGUUUAAGACUUUUGAUUUGCUCUUUUUUUCUAUGAAAUAAGAAAGAAACUACUUAAAAGCAGAAAGUUUAUUUAUCUGUCUGACCCAUAUUCUUCCUUCUAGUCUCCCCAGAUGCCCAGACCAGGGGAAGUUCCCUGCCUCUGUGUUCUCAGCAGUCCGUUUAGGUCUCUGCCCCAUAAUUCCCUAUUUAAUGCUGAUAUCUUUGUGUGUCUGUCUCCCCUACACAACUGUACACUGUUCACUGUUGUUCUCCAGUACUUAACAGUAUGCAUGGCACAAGAGAGAAAAUAAGUAUUUGUGGAACUGGUAAAAUCAGCAGGAAAUGAGCAGAAGGAGGAUUCUCUGUUACUGUAAAACAGAGACAUCUGUGGCUUUCUUUCUCUCCUGAUUAAUAACUGAGGACAUUAGUCUAUUCUUCUGGUUUCAUGGUGAGACAAUCCAUCUAAAGAAGAUUGUUCAUUUGAAAUAUAGAGACAACUGAAAAUUCUAAAAACCAGCGUAGGAUGUAAGUUCCAUGAGAUGAGGAAAUUUAUCUUCCCAGUUCACCACUCCAGCCCCACAAUUUAGUACAGUGUCUGUGCAUAGUAGCCAUCAGCAGUGGGCAUGAAGAUGUGCCACCUGGAUGCUCUUCAAGGAAGGACCUGAUGGGCCCUACAAAAAGUAAUCAGCACACAGCCUUCGGCUUUUAGCUCCUUCAGAGGCUGCUUCAGCUGUGCCUUGCGUUGCUGGAGGUCACAUCCUUCCCAGGGCCGUUUGCAUCAAGUAAACAACAUGGCCAUGCUGUACAGAUGCUGCCAGAGACAAUUCCAAUAGGCAACACCUGCUCUGGACCCCUCACCUAUAGGAUAGUUCUACUUGCCCUGUGCACAAUUCUGCUUCCCACCUCUUACCUUCACAGAUGUUGGGCCUUAUUAAAUAUUUUCCUCCUCAAACUCCAUCUCAGUGUCUUUUCCAGGAGA
rnacentral:lncRNA from 1 species